rnacentral:lncRNA from 1 species
CCAUAAAAUACACUUAAUUAUAAUUUUAUAUAAAAUGUCUAGAAACAAAACAAGUUGAUUUUUUUAAAAUUCAAACGUCAGGUAAAACUCAUUUAAAAUGGGUGCACAUCAGAUGUGCCAAAAAUUGGGUGUCAAAUGCACCAUACAACGUAAUACGGUAUGUGACAUACAACUCGAUAAUACUGUAACAUACAAAGUAUUGAUGAAUACAACGUCGUCGUACAAAGUGAAAUUGUUGAUGAAUAAUGAAAUAUGAGGCGGACGAUUAGGAUCUAACGGCUGAUACGGAGCUACCGGAGAUUGGAGACGUAACCGAAGAUGUCCUGGAGAACCGCUGACGUGCGGAAGAGGUAGAAUCCGGCGACCUAAUUUCAUAUUUAAGAGAGGGCGAGGGUUGGAGUCCGUUGGAGGAAGGAGAACCGGGUUUGAACAACCCUAGAGAGAAGUACUUGGGAGCUAGUUCAGAGGUCUCCGGAGCAAAAUGUCCUUAGCUGCAAAUAAUGGGUCUUCCGCAAUAAAC